GGCAAAGUUCACUCACCUUCUUCCAAAUCAGUGAUUGUUGCAUCGCGGUUUAGCAGUGGCCGUGACGGCUUUGCUUUAGGCGAGGAGUAGGAGUAGGAGCGAAGACGGACCUCAGCCUCCUCUGGGCUCUAGAUGGACCUCAUGACCUGAGAAUCAGCCCAUCAACCACUGAUUUUCUACCACUUAUCCAGGGAUGGGUCGCAGGGCAGCGGCUUAAGCAGUGAAGCCCAGCGCUCCCUUUCCCCAACCAUCUCCUACAGCUCUCAUCCACGGAAACCCAAGAGGUGUUCCCAGGCUAGCCAAGAGACAUAAUCUCUCCAGCGUGUCCUGAGUCUACCUUGGGGCUUCAUUUCAGUACGACAUGCCUGGAACACCUCACCUAGGACGCGCGUAGGAGGCAUCCUAAACAGAUGUUCAAACCACCUCAACUGUCUCAAUGUGGAGGACUAGUGGUUCUACUCUGAGUCUCUCCCAAAUGACUGAACUUCUCACCCUAUCUCUAAGGCUCAAGCCACUCUCCAUAGAAAACUCAUUACAGACACAAGAAUUUCUCAUUCUUCCAGUCCAUGAGAUCUUUAAUUCCCACCUCCAGCAUUCCAAGGGAAGUGGGGAUAUUGAGUCUGAAAGAAGGAGUCCUUUACUUUUAUGGCGCUGCUGUUUAUGGCAUCCACAGAAUUAGUUAGCUUGUGGGAUGCCGGAGGCAGCUAACAGGUAGGUGGCAGUAGGUGAAGAAAAAUUUGGGUGUGGGAGGAGUCCAGUGAGGAUACAGAACAAGAUUUUUGGUCAGCCUCAAAGCCAUUCUGGCAAACGCCAUAGACAGUCAUCAUAUUCAAAUCAAACACUAUGAUUUUGACUCUGCAUUGCUGAGAAAAAUGAAGGACUGUUCAGCAACUUGAGCACGCUUCCUGCCGCUUUCCACACCUUCACUUAAAACAAUGUAGGGAAAAAAAUUAUCUUGUUGAAAUUCCAAGCAAACUGGAGUUUGCUGUCUUUGUAUGGAUUAAAUGGAAGACUGCUUAUCAUCCAAGUCAACAAAACCCCACAACACACUUCUGAAGUAGGUCGGAGUGAUCUUUAA